CUACCUGGUUGAAAGAAGAUGUCAUUAUGUUAAAUGAAAUAAGCCAGGCACAGAAAGACAGACAUCACAUACUCUCACUUAUUUCUGGGGUGUAAAAAUCAAAGUGACUGAACACAUGGAGGUAGAGAGUAGAAGGAUGGUUACCAGAGGCUUGGAAAGGUAGUGGAGGGUUGCAGGGAGGUGGGGAUGGUUAAUGGCUACGUAAAAUGGUUAGAAAAAU